rnacentral:rRNA from 1 species
AUGAGCAAAAUCUCAACUUUAUUAGAAGAGACGCAUUUAUUAGAUAAAAAGCCAAUGCAUGCUUUUACAGUAUGAAAAUUGGUGAUUUAUAAUAACUUAGCAAAUCGCAUAGUGAAAACAGGCGAUAAAUCAUUCAAGUUUCUGACCUAUCAGCUUUCGACGGUAUGGUAUUGGCUUACCGUGGCAGUGACGGUUAACGGGGGAUUAGGGUUCGAUUCCGGAGAGGGAGCCUGAGAAACGGCUACCACAUCUAAGGAAGGCAGCAGGCGCGCAAAUUACCCAAUUCUAACAGUUUGAGAGAGGUAGUAACAAGAAAUAACAAUACAAGGCAGUUAAAAUGCUUUGUAAUUGGAAUGAUAGAAAUUUAAACCCUUUUUAAAGUAUCAAUUGGAGGGCAAGUCUGGUGCCAGCAGCCGCGGUAAUUCCAGCUCUAAUAGCGUAUAUUAAAAUUGUUGCAGUUAAAAAGCUCGUAGUUGAAGUUCUGCUAAAAGUAACCGGUCUGCUUUGAAUAAAAGUGGUAUCUUGGUAUGUAUUUAGCAAUGAUGUCCUUUGAAGUGUUUUUUACUUUAUUGUAAUAAAGCAUAUUCAGGACUUUUACUUUGAGAAAAUUAGAGUGUUUCUAGCAGGCCAACGCUUUGAAUACUGCAGCAU